UACGUAGGGUGCGAGCGUUAAUCGGAAUUACUGGGCGUAAAGCGUGCGCAGGCGGUGAUGUAAGACAGGUGUGAAAUCCCGGGGCUCAACCCCGGAACUGCCUUCGAUACUGGGUAUCUUGAGUUCGGAAGAGGUGAGUGGAAUUGCGAGUGUAGAGGUGAAAUUCGUAGAUAUUCGCAGGAACACCAGUGGCGAAGGCGGCUCACUGGUCCGAUACUGACGCUGAGGUGCGAAAGCGUGGGGAGCAAACAGG
rnacentral:rRNA from 1 species